rnacentral:rRNA from 1 species
GAUGAACGCUGGCGGCGUGCCUAAUACAUGCAAGUCGAGCGAACAGACGAGGAGCUUGCUCCUCUGACGUUAGCGGCGGACGGGUGAGUAACACGUGGAUAACCUACCUAUAAGACUGGGAUAACUUCGGGAAACCGGAGCUAAUACCGGAUAAUAUAUUGAACCGCAUGGUUCAUUAGUGAAAGACGGUUUUGCUGUCACUUAUAGAUGGAUCCGCGCCGCAUUAGCUAGUUGGUAAGGUAACGGCUUACCAAGGCAACGAUGCGUAGCCGACCUGAGAGGGAUCGGCCACACUGGAACUGAGACACGGUCCAGACUCCUACGGGAGGCAGCAGUAGGGAAUCUUCCGCAAUGGGCGAAAGCCUGACGGAGCAACGCCGCGUGAGUGAUGAAGGUCUUCGGAUCGUAAAACUCUGUUAUUAGGGAAGAACAAAUGUGUAAGUAACUAUGCACGUCUUGACGGUACCUAAUCAGAAAGCCACGGCUAACUACG